rnacentral:rRNA from 1 species
ACGGGUGAGUAACGCGUGGGAACAUACCUCUUGGUUCGGAACAACACAAGGAAACUUGUGCUAAUACCGGAUAAGCCCUUACGGGGAAAGAUUUAUCGCCGAGAGAUUGGCCCGCGUCUGAUUAGCUAGUUGGUAGGGUAAUGGCCUACCAAGGCGACGAUCAGUAGCUGGUCUGAGAGGAUGAUCAGCCACAUUGGGACUGAGACACGGCCCAAACUCCUACGGGAGGCAGCAGUGGGGAAUAUUGGACAAUGGGCGCAAGCCUGAUCCAGCCAUGCCGCGUGAGUGAUGAAGGCCCUAGGGUUGUAAAGCUCUUUUGUACGGGAAGAUAAUGACGGUACCGUAAGAAUAAGCCCCGGCUAACUUCGUGCCAGCAGCCGCGGUAAUACGAAGGGGGCUAGCGUUGCUCGGAAUCACUGGGCGUAAAGGGUGCGUAGGCGGGUUUUUAAGUCAGAGGUGAAAUCCUGGAGCUCAACUCCAGAACUGCCUUUGAUACUGAAAGUCUUGAGUAUGGGAGAGGUGAGUGGAACUGCGAGUGUAGAGGUGAAAUUCGUAGA